rnacentral:rRNA from 1 species
UCCGUAGGGUGCGAGCGUUGUCCGGAAUCAUUGGGCGUAAAGCGCUUGUAGGCGGUCUGUUGCGUCUGCUGUGAAAAUCCGGGGCUCAACCCCGGACUUGCAGUGGGUACGGGCAGACUAGAGUGUGGUAGGGGAGACUUGAAUUCCUGGUGUAGCGGUGAAAUGCGCAGAUAUCAGGAGGAACACCGAUGGCGAAGGCAGGUCUCUGGGCCACUACUGACGCUGAGAAGCGAAAGCAUGGGGAGCGAACAGG